AAGCUUCAUCUUUCCUAUUGUAUCCCAUCUCUAAACGCCAGCAAAGCUCACCCUCAACAUCACAAGACCCGCCCCAAGCCUUUGCUCCUUCUUUCUCGACUAACCUACAGAACAUAGAGAACGACCCUUCCUGAGGUUUCUUCUUCUUCGAACUAGCAGCGACCAAGCGGACACGAACCAGACCCCGUCUUCAAAUCCCUCUCUUCUACCUAGAGCAUUCAUAUACAUGAAAAAGAGGAAACCAGUUGGAGAAGAAUGAAACAGAGAAAAGUUGGACUGAAAUUCGGGGAAAAUGGACGGAGAUUUUCAGAUUUGUGCUUAUCUCCUUAGUUUGAGAUUUCUUUCUAUCUAAAGUUCAUAAAAAUACAUAAAAGCAAACUCAGAUCCUCCUUAUUUCAUCUCUGCCGCAAAUCCGAAAAUACAAGAAAAAAUAUAGGUUGUCUUCUCUUCUUUCCAAAUUCUGUUUUGGUUACAAAAAUGGAGAUGGUUGAAGGUGCUCAAGUUCGAGUAGCGCGACUGUUGUUCGAGGUUAAAGUCUGAGUACCGGUGUGAAUCAGUCGUAGGUUCCGGUUGUUGGUUUGCGUCGUCUCUUUGGUGAUUCCAUUUGAAAGCUGUCAUUGCCGAUUCAUUCAAUUUGGCUCGAGUCACUUUUUGUAACUUGCCGAGGAAUUAAUUGAAAUUUUUGACAGGAAGGAUUUGAAGCAGCAGUUUUGUUCGUUCUUGUGUAAAUUCCAAGGUAUUCCAAAAGUUAAUGUUAUCUCGUUUUGCCCGUUUUUCUUUAUUUCCACGGCUAUUUGAUGUGGCAUCACUCUUUGUUAUUUAUCUGUUAUUUGUUCCAUUUCAAUGGCAUCUUAAAAUGAUUAAUACCUUCGUCAAUUUUCAUGCGUUUCAGACUUUUUUCUUGUUAGUUCUUAUACGAAAUUUGAGUGGCGCCAUGUAAAAUAAAAAUGACAAUUGCAUGGACUUUGUUUUGUGGCAUUUACUGAAUUUUCUAUGGCUCUCGCAAAGUUAAAAACGUGUAAUUGCUUUAGGCGCGUUAGUUUAAUAAUUUACCUUCCUAAACUCGGAUGCACAUUUAUGUGACCCAAAUCUAAAUCUCAACAACGUUAGAUAAAAUGUGUCGUGGACCACGGGUGAAUUUAUGUGACGUGGUUCAAGAUGUGUUUUAGAUGACGUUGAAUCUUUCAAAAAUAAUAUUUAAAUAAAAGUAGUUAUAUAGUUAAAAUUGAACUAUUUAUGUGACAUGGUUCAAGAUAUGUUUUAGAUGCCGUUGAAUCUUUUCUAACAAUAAUGUAAAAAUGAUAAUUUUUAGGAUUUUUCUAUGAUUUAAGAAUGUUAAAAAUGCAUGAAAUGCAACUAAACAAAGAAUACUUUCUAAAAUUAACAAAAAUAAUUUUUGGACUAUUUUUUAGGAGUUAUUUUCAUGUAGGGCAAAACUCACGUGCUCACAGCUGCCCCACUUUGCUCAGAAACCCGAAGGAUUUUCGUGCAAAGAUAAAGCGAGCGAAUACAAGCGAUUCUUGCCCAUUUGGAUACUCCACGGAAAGCAUUUUUUGAAAGAGUCUGACCGAACCUUGGUUCAAAGGUUGUCUACAUAACCUUGGCUAUAAAAGAAUCAGGUCAGUGUAGUUCUGGAAGUUUUGGUAGCUGGGACUACCGAGAAGCUGUGAAUUUAUUAUUGUUGCUACUGUGUCUGCUUGUUGAGCUCCUUAUU
rnacentral:lncRNA from 1 species